rnacentral:rRNA from 1 species
GACGAACGCUGGCGGCGUGCUUAACACAUGCAAGUCGAACGGUAAGGCCCUUCGGGGUACACGAGUGGCGAACGGGUGAGUAACACGUGGGUGAUCUGCCCUGCACUUCGGGAUAAGCCUGGGAAACUGGGUCUAAUACCGGAUAGGACUCCGGACUGCAUGGUCUGGGGUGGAAAGCUUUUGCGGUGUGGGAUGGGCCCGCGGCCUAUCAGCUUGUUGGUGGGGUGAUGGCCUACCAAGGCGACGACGGGUAGCCGGCCUGAGAGGGUGACCGGCCACACUGGGACAGAGGUACGGCCCAGACUCCGACGGGAGGCAGCAGGGGGGAAUAUUGCACAAUGGGCGCAAGCCUGAUGCAGCGGCGCCGCGUGAGGGAUGACGGCCUUCGGGUUGUAAACCUCUUUCAGCUAUGACGAAGCGCAAGUGACGGUAGUAGCAGAAGAAGGACCGGCCAACUACGUGCCAGCCGCCGCUGUAA